rnacentral:misc_RNA from 1 species
UUGUUUUCCAGGAGGGUCUCACCUGUAUGUUGGUGUUUACCAUUAUUGCUGCCGUCCUUGGAAUGUUUCAGUUUGGCUACAACACUGGAGUUAUCAACGCCCCGCAAAAGCUUAUUAAAGAAUUUAUAUCAGACAUAUAUGAGAGGAGAACGGAAGAAAUGAUUACAAAUGCUUUCAGAGAAUUUCUGUGGUCCGUCACAGUUUCUAUAUUUGCCAUAGGUGGAAUGGUAGGAGGGAUUUCAGGAGGAGCGGUUGCUAAUAGGUUUGGAAGGAAAGGGGGUCUUCUUCUUAAUAACGUUCUUGCAAUAUUGGGAGGUGCAUUCAUGGGGCUCAGCAAAGCGUCCCAUAGUAUCGAGAUGCUUAUCUUUGGUCGCCUUAUCAUAGGUUUUAAUUGUGGUUUGAAUACUGCCCUGGUACCAAUGUACCUAUCUGAAAUAUCCCCUGUGUCUCUGCGUGGAGGGUUAGGAACAGUAAAUCAGCUUGCUGUGACAGUAGGACUUUUGUUGUCCCAAGUUUUUGGAGUUCAUUUUCUUUUGGGCACAACAAGAGGGUGGCCUUAUCUCUUAGCGAUAGCAAUCAUUCCGGCCAUUCUGCAACUGUGUUUGUUACCCCUUUGUCCUGAGAGUCCUCGGUACUUGCUCAUUUCUAAACAAGAGGAAUCCCUUGCAAGGGAAGGAUUGAUACGUUUGAGGAAAUCAAGUAAUGUUGAAGAAGAUAUUGAAGAAAUGAAAGCAGAAGAAAGAGCAAAUCAGCAUGAAGUUAGGAUCACAAUGAUGGAAUUAAUACAGAAUAAGACACUACAGGUACCAUUAAUCAUUGGUAUUGUCAUGCAACUUUCACAACAACUUUCAGGAAUAAAUGCAGUUUUCUAUUAUUCGACGGGCCUUUUUAUGUCAGCAGAGCUCUCCGAAAAAACAUCGAGGUAUGCCACCAUUGGCGUAGGGGCAGUGAUGGUGAUAAUGACACUUCUGUCUAUACCACUGAUGGACCGGGCAGGAAGACGAACAUUACUCUUGUAUGGUCUAGGUGGCAUGUUCAUCUUCAGUAUCUUUAUCACAAUCUCCUUACUUGUAAAGUUUCUUUACCACUGGGUAACAUACCUCAGUGUAGUUAGUACACUUGGUUAUGUUGUCUUCUUUGCCAUUGGUCCAGGGUCCAUUCCAUGGAUGAUUACAGCAGAGCUGUUUUCCCAGGGCCCAAGACCAGCAGCAAUGAGUUUAGCUGUUUUAGUCAACUGGUUUGCUAACUUUGUGGUUGGUCUUGUAUUUCCUCUGAUGCAGGUCUCAACGAUUACACUUUCCUUCCAUUUACUGCUCUUCUUGCGAUUUUCUGGACCUUCACAUACAAGAAAGUUCCUGAAACAAGAAAUAAGACUUUUGAAGAGAUUUCAGCCCUAUUUAGGCGAGACGAGAUCAUCAAUGCUAAUGGCAUGAACAUACACGUAGCCAGAAGAUAUGCUCCAACUGGAGGACCAAUAGGACCAAUUGUGGAUGAGAAAUCUAUUGAGUCAUAUGGCACCUUCUCCCGUGUUGGUGGUGGACUACUGACUCAAGACCAUCAUCUUUAGGCUACAAUUUUUUCUUCUCUUCUUAGCAAUAUCUAGGAGACUUUCAAGCAAUAGGAACAUCUUGGCUUUGUCCCUACAUCAAUAAAUCACCAUGUGUUUAUGCUAUUUUGGUGACUUAAUUCUGGCUGUGUAAAAUGCCUGGCUAAUAGUCUGAUUGUAGCUAGCCUGUGUAGUGUACAAAAACUAAACAUUCUGAAUAGGCAAAUUAAGGUUUCGUAUCUUGUGGCGAUGGAAAAAAAAACCCAUCAAAGACAACAUAAAAUCUACCUGAAGUGACACUCCUUCCGCUUGUAAUUCAUGCUUUUCAAAGAGCUCGUAACUGCUUCAUCGAAUUACUCUUACUUAAUUAACUCUAAACAGCUAAACAUUUUCUAUCAGUUAUUGCGAUUAGAAAGGUUGGGUUUUGCGAUGAUGGAUGAGCACAGAGUUAUUAACUUUAAUGAAGAACUAUGUACAAUGUACCAAAAAUUGUGUAUAGUAAGGAAUGUUUAUUGUUCCGUUUAGCAUUAACAGCAAGUAGUUACAUUAUUCUAAUCAACCAAUGCAUUAAGUAAAUGUGUUGUUAUUGGUACUUACAUGUAUGUUUUGGAAUAUUUACUUUCUGAAGAUAUCUUUUUUACGGUGCUAUGCCCUAUGACAUUUAUACAUUUCUUCGAAUGGGCUCGUUGAUUUCGUUUAAUUUUUUUUUAAUAUUUUAUACAAAAUCUAAUGUUUAGGACCUAGUUUGGAAGUUAUUUUUAUUGUUUAAGGAAAAUAUGCUGAUCUACAGCAGCGAAUUAUAUGUACAUACUUGUGAUCGAGUAAUACAUAUUAAUGUGCGUAGAGACCAAACAUAGAACGACUAAGUUACUCCAGAAAUGUUAUUUUUUAACGAUGCAUGUGACAGCAUGAUAAAGAAACAAAGUAAUGCGACAGUCAGUUCUGAAUUUAAAAUAAGAUUUCGCAUUAAUGUAAAAUUAGUGUAAUAUUUGAAGAGGCAAAAAUCAAAACUCACCUGAAAUUUUCAUCUAGCUUGUAUUCAGAAAGUGUUGUUUCACUACCUUUCUCGCCAAACGAAAUUCAAUAUUUCAGACAAAGUAGAUUCUGUAGACUAGUGUGUGUGUGAUGAGCUUGUUAUCAUCAACAUAAUAUUUUAGUGUUGUUGUUUUUUGGUUUUUUUUCGUCAGAAAGCUUCGGCUGCUUAUGAUAUCAGAGUAUAUUGAAAACAGUGUGCAGUAAUACAGGAUUUAUAUCUAUAAAGGCCGAGCAUGGCCUAGUUGUUAGUGUGCCCGAAUUGCGAAUCAGGAUUCAUUCUUCGCGACCCGCUCCCGCAAAAAUGCGCUCCUCAUCUUGAUGCCAUGAGUACUCUAUAAGAAUGACGAUCAAAUACAACUAUUCAAUCAUACGAGAGUGGCUUAAGAAUUGAUAGUGAACGUUCGUUGUUUAGCUAUUCUUUCUCUAGUCUACUACUACAAAAUUCGAGACAUUUAUGAACACACAGCCCUUGUGCGAAAUUCAAAAACGAAUAAACAUUUCUUUCUAGACUAAGCUAAUGUCACUCCCUCCAAACACCUGCCACCAAACACACGAAUGGUUACUUAGGGUAAUCUCCUUUAUAGAAGAUGUAGUGUCUAUUCCCAUCGAAACGUGGAAUGUGCUGAAUGGUUGUCGUUUUUCUUCUUGUUUUAAGUCAGAAUUGAAACUUUCUGGGAGUUAACAAGUCCGGUCAAUAAGGUAAACAUUGUCGACGAUUACGAAUGACCUAAUAUCAUUAUUCGCUAACUUUAUGUAUUAUUAACGAUAUUAAUCAAUUAUCCCAUAACUGUUUCAAAACUACAUAUUUUUCGUAAGUUAAGAAGGCACCUUUUAAAUGCAAACCCUAACAUAUUUUUAAUUCACUGAAUUUUUAAUUGGACCGUGACAAUGACCUGUUUAUUUUAUAAUGUUACCAUAUAUCCUGGAAAGUAGGUAUAAUUAUUAAUAAAGAAAAACAUUCAUUGAUAAAUACAAGCUCUAGUUUAUAUAUAUACCUGACGGAGUGUUAGAUGGCAUGUAAGAUGUGAUUCAAUAGUUAGCUUGAAGGCUUAUUACGCUAACAUUGAGGGCUCGAUAUCCGCGGUAGGAGCAGCGCAGAUAGCUCAUUGAGGAGCUUUGAGCUUAAUAUCGUACAUACAGACACACACAUACAUAUACACUCAUUAAUUUAAUUUUUAAAAUUGUAUAAACACUGUACAGUUAUUUCUAAGCAAAUUGUAUUACCUUAUUGUAAAUUCAGUAAUGACCGUUGCACUUUGGUAACACAGUGGUGUAAUUAUAUCAUGUUUCAAUAGAAAAUUUGGUCAAGAAAAGUGUCACUUCUAGAAUGAUUUUGUCUUUAUCGUAAAAUCUUUACACGAUCUUGUGAAGAAAAGCAUAUAGCACUUGUUUGUUUACACGUUAACCCUAACAGAAGUUAAAGAUGACCAUAUAGUAUUUGUUUCUUUACACGUUAACCCUAACAGAAGUUAAAGAUGAUCAUAUAGUAUUUGUUUGUUUUCACGUUAACCCUAAUAGAAAUUGAAGAAAAGCAUGUGGUACUGAUUUGUUUACACAAGUUUCAACAUUUAUGCAAGACACUCAACUGAGUUUUCAGUUUCGGGAAUAUUUGAACGCAAAAAAAAAUACAUAUUUAAAGGGUAUAAUCACAUGAGACUUUUAUAAAGUUUGUUUUGAGUAUUUGAAAGUUUAGAUUUUUUAAUUCUAGUCAUGGGAAACGUUAGUUUGUUAGUUUUCUUAACAUCAAGGAGAAAAUCGUCAAUAGUUUUAUUAUUGUUAGGAAUGCAGAAACAUUUUGCUUUUAUUGUGUGUUUUCAUGAGAUAUCAGUCAGGGAGUUAUUCUUCACUUUUUCUUCCGCUGCACACAGAUGUUUAUGAUAAUUAUAUUUUUCUAAGUCCAUUUUCUUCAAAAAAAACCUACAUUUUAUCUUUUCCCUGCAAAGUUUACAAUCAGAACCAUCAAACACAAGUUGUUUUGUUGGGGUUUUUUAUUCAACCUUUGAACUGGAUUUUCUCUUUCUACUGUAUAAUACGCAUUUAACAGUCUGUUUGUAGUUAAAAUUUUUUAUAAAGAACCGUGAUUCCAAAUGAUAUAUUUGGAUGAAAAUUUUAGUUAUGAUUUUCAACCUAUCUUUUUGCUUGAUAAACUUAUCUGUUGUGUAAUGACAUAACAAAAUCGGAUGAAAUAAGCUUAAUUACGACGUAACAAGAUGAUAUUAAUGGAGUGUUCUAAAAAUGAUGAACGAUGAAUUUUGUUUACUUGGCGAGCACUUAGAUUAUUUAUUUACUUGCUCUCUAGGUAAUGUUAAAAAUACAGCAAUUUCCCUUAGGAUAGAUACUGUGAAUUGAUAUUUCCCAUCUCCGAAACCUCACCUUAUUUGGUCAGUCGUUUACAGAAUAUUUUCUAUCUGUGUAACGAGAAGGUUUUGUAUACUGCAUGACAUUUUGAUGUCAGUUGACACUAACGUAUUCUGCCGAAAUGUGAUGAUAUUAUUUCAUUGUUUUACUUCUACAGCAGAUAUGAAGUAGAUAUUAGUCCUAACAUAGCAUUAUGGUAUCCAUAGCUUUGCAUUGCAACGUAACACCUACAAUAAAAAUACUUAUCAAUUUUGUAAGUAAACUAUUAAAAGGACGGUAUGAUUAAGGCAUUAGCAAAGGAGAUAUUUAAAACUUCUUAGUUAUUCAAAUGUUUUGGAAAUUACUUGACUUUCACAUUAUUAAUUGCAUGUAUUGCGGUGCACUUCCUGCUUAGCCAACGAAAUAGUUUAUAGAAGUAAUAGUUUUGUUUCUUCAUACAGUGAUGUUCAGAAACGUUUGAAUUAUAUUAUUGAAAUUAAUUGUUUAUUGUUAUUAUUUUUGUUUAGGGGCUCUAAUACUAAACAAAAAUUAACAGGUUUCAUUACUAGAUUUACGUCAUCACAACACUGGUAACAGGUAUACUUAGUGUAUAUUGGUAACAAUCUUGGGUGACUACUUUUGCUAAUUCUAAUCUUUGCUCAACAAUGAACUUACCUGUUUCUGAGGUUCUAUGAUCCUUCAUAUUGUAUGUUACGAUAAUCGGUAGAGAAAAAUGCCACGAAUGAUACAAUCGAAAGAAAUGGUCAUUUUUAAAAUGUGAACGCGUAGUUAUUUCGCCAAGUAAUAUUUAACUCCUAUGCAACUAUGAAUAAUUAUCUAUGGCGAUUUAGCAAUUAAUACUGACGUUUUAUGUUAAUGUUGGGGACCGGAUAAUGUAUGAAAUGUUGCUAUCUUGGAAUAAUUACUUGUGAAGCACUUUAUGAACUGUGUAAAAAAGAGUGUAUUUUUUAACUACUUCAUCAUCAGGUAAGUAGUUCAUUUCUUUAAACCGAUGCGCGCCGAAUUAGAGAACAUGGAUCCUUCAGUUCUCAGAAAAGGCAACAUUUAAUGCCAAAUUUCAAUAUCUGUAAUACCAAAACACAAAUUGAAGAAAGAAAAAGGCCACCUAUGUCAAUAAAUAUUGUUCAUUAAAACACCUUUAGAAAUUACUUCUUGAUCAAACAAAUCUCGUUUAUUAAACCUUUUCUAAGGAAUGGGUUUUUUACCUUAAUUGUAAAAGAAAGGAGCGUUUUGAUCCCUUUUAAAAAUGAAAAUGUUAAACAAUCACUAUAUAGUGGUUUUCGUUAAAUAUUAAUCUCUAAAUUGCAUAACUAACAGAUAUUUGAAAUUAAUUUCUUUAAUGUUGUUUGAACGAAUUAAUGUAGUUGGUUUUGGUUUUGAUAUAUUGAGUAUUAAAGUGUCACCAUUUCCCUACUGACUCAGCGGUAAGUCUGGUUCUGAUACCCGCGAUGGGCAGAGCACAGAUAGCCCAUUGUGUAGCUUUGUGCUUAAUAAUAAACAAACAAAAUUAGUGGCUUGUGCAUCAAAUUAAGAUGACCUUUGGAAACUUUUGUUUCGUGUGAUAUAAAUAAAUAUUACAUUUUUGCGUUUUUCUUUUUUUUUACUUCUACAGUUCUUCAUUCAUAUUUAGUUUUGAUUGCAGAUUUAGAUUCAUAAGUUUUUACUGUUUACUGUGAAGGUGAGUUACAUCGCUUCCAUCAUUGCUGGGAAAUGGAUGAGUUCCAGCAUGGUGAGAAAAUAAGGGAGCAAACCCCCAAUCAUAUGGAAGAUCGGGUCUAAGAAGUAAGGCAAAAUGUCGUUUCCGGGUCCCUCACGUGCCUCCUGGCUCUACCAUCAGGUGAUUAGAUGUGUUGUCAAUGGUACGAGAUGUCAGUAGCUAUGUUAUUGCUUAUAUAUCGUUGCCAAUGGGAAUAGUUCCUAAAUUCAUUUUUCUGUGUGCUAAAUUGUUACAGCAUGUUGGAAUGUAUUUCAAUGAAUUGUAUUGCAUGUUGGCAAGCAUGGUUUUUAGCUUGAUAUUGCACGCUUACAAAACAUGAAACUGGUAUUGUUGUUGUUGUUGUUUGUUUUAGCGUAUUCGUUUGAAUUACUGGCGUUACCAUGAAGCAUUAGUUACAAAAGCAUGUGUAGGUUUAUCCCUUAAUAACGGUUUUUGUACAACAACAAACAAACAAUUUCGUAAUUUUAAAACACCGUGUGAUCUGUAACUCGGAACCAGUACUCUCUAUACACGUCCUUCAUCGUCAUUGUUAUUAAGAACAGUCACUUUUUCACGAGGAUUUUUAAGAAACGACCUUCGUCAACUGGUUAAGCAAGCUCUUCAGCAGAACUCCUAAUCAACUAUUCAAAGCUGAAAUUUUAAAUAACCCUAGUUACAAAAAAGUAUUCCUUCUCCGAGUUUAAAAGGAAGUAAUACAAACAUCACUUUGUCCGCUAAACGAAGAUUAACAUGCAAUGUUUUGAAAGAAAUACUUAAUGCAAAGGAUCCUGAUCUAAAUGAAAAAGUUCAAAUUUCCAAAUUAGAAAAUCCUGCCCAUACCUUGCUGACUUCCUAUCAUAUUCGUAGCUAAAAAAAAGAUAUGAAUUAUAACUUCUGAGUCACAAUCCUUUGACAAGCACCCACCCAAGUAACUGAAUAUAUUCGAUAGGCUUCAUUCAAGUGAACACAUUCGAUAAGUUUGAUCCAACUAAAUAUUCUUGAUGGGUCUGAUUUAACAGAACAUAUUGGAUAGACUUGAUCCAACUGAACAUAUUCGAUAGGUUUGAUCCAACUAAAAUUUCUUGAUAGGCCUGAUUUAACUGAACAUAUUCGAUAGUUUUGAUCCAAUUAAACAUUCUUGAUAAGUUUGAUCCAAAUGAACACAUUCGAUAAUUUGGUCCAACUGAACACAUUCGAUAGAUUUAUCAUUGAACUAAACAAUUGGAAUUAACAAAGUUAUAGAAUAAUGACGAAUAGUAGCUACAUUCGAACGAAUGGAAUUCAAAUAUUUACCCUUCUGAGGUAACACCAUUUCAACACACUGGUCACCACACAGAUAGCUGAAACAUAAGCCGUUACCGCCUGGUAAUCAUUACUUUCUUUUUAUUAGUUCUUUAAAUGCUCCGUUGCGUGUGUUAUUUUUGCAUCACUAGUUUAAUAAGCACAUUUAAAAUUGAUCUUAAUAGCUUUUUCCUUGCAUAUAAAAAAAUGCUGUUUUUUUACUUUGUUGCUUUUGCAACUUUCAUUUUUGAAUAUUUUUCGUUUCCAAAGAUACAUCAUAGAUUACAAUAGCUUCAUCAUUCAUGCUGCAAGGAUCAGCACGUUUUCUGGAAGUCUUAUGAAAGGCAGUGAAUUAUAUGCAUAUGAUGUAGAUUUAGCAUUAUGGUUUUGUUUAUAAAUAUUAAAGCACGGAAAGCCGCUUCUUUUCAUUAAAAAGUUUUUUUUUUAAUGUUCAAGAGGAGAAAACCGGUAAUGGAUGCAAAUUACCUAACUUUUACAACAUAAAAAUGUAUCAAAAUAAAAACAAAUAUUUUUUUC